rnacentral:sRNA from 1 species
AGACUAGGGACAAAAGGUCUGUCGUGGCAUGCUUGCAUGCCUAUGACAGACUUUGGGGACCGCAAAAAUAUGAGGAAGUAGCCCAGACAGGGCGGAUUCCGAAUAUUUUUAGAAUUUCGAGAGUGCGCAGCACGGAGAAAUUCAU